UGAACUGAUGAUGAUUAUUGGUCAUGUAUGAGUCCUGGAUGAUGAAUACUAUUGGUCUGAAACUCUGAGGUCCAA